UUUUGAAAUGCUGUGAACUUGCUUGAAUGACACAAAUAAGCUAAUUGAUGUGUGAACUUUUUGUCAGCCAUUUUCACCCCUUAACAACAUAUCAAUUUGCCUUGCAUUGAUUUCAUUAGGUAGAUGUCUAAACUUUUUGAAGAUAUUUGAUUGAAAUCUUUUCACAUUAUGUUGGUAGGAUCUUUCCAAAUAUUUGAAACCUUCUAGUAUAUGAUGUUCUACAAUUGUUUCAAACUUGUUGAACUUGUUGGCAUAAUCUAGAAUCUUAACUGAACUAGCAAAAGGACUAAUAAAUAUGAAAUUCUCCUGCUUCAGUUCUUUCUUGAAACAACACAG
rnacentral:misc_RNA from 1 species